ensembl:ncRNA asRNA:CR45663 antisense RNA:CR45663
AACACAAUCCGUUAACUUGUUAUGACAAAACGAAAAACAUUUAUUGAAACAAAAAAUCGUAAAUACUGUAUCACAUUUGCGUCCUUAGUGGUGCAGGGUGUAGGCCAGGGGAGCGGAGUGCACCACCGACUUGACGAGGGGAGCUGAGUGGACCAGAGGCACAGAGUGGACGACUGGAGCGGCGUGGACAACGGGCACGGAGUGAACCACUGGAGCAGCGUGGACGGCAACGGCGGGAUGGGAGUAGGUGGUGGUCUUCACGAUGGGAGCAACCACUGGCUGCACCACCGCCUUGCUGUGCACCUGGGUGAUGCUCUGGUGGG